UACCUACUGGGGGUUGGGAUGCGGCAA
rnacentral:sRNA from 1 species